AGCGGCGGACGGGUGAGUAACGCGUGGGUAACCUGCCUCAUACAGGGGGAUAACAGUUAGAAAUGACUGCUAAUACCGCAUAAGACCACGGUACCGCAUGGUACAGUGGUAAAAACUCCGGUGGUAUGAGAUGGACCCGCGUCUGAUUAGCUAGUUGGUAAGGUAACGGCUUACCAAGGCGACGAUCAGUAGCCGACCUGAGAGGGUGACCGGCCACAUUGGGACUGAGACACGGCCCAA
rnacentral:rRNA from 1 species